rnacentral:rRNA from 1 species
CUUUAUGGCAAAUGUGAGAUGCAGUGUAUGGAAUGUCAAAUUUCUAGUAUGAGAAAUUAACGAUUUAAGUCCUUCUUAAAUGAGGCCAUUUACCCAUAGAGGGUGCCAGGCCCGUAUAACGUUAAUGAUUACUAGAUGGCAUUUCCAAAGAGUCGUGUUGCUUGAUAGUGCAGCACUAAGUGGGUGGUAAACUCCAUCUAAAACUAAAUAUAACCAUGAGACCGAUAGUAAACAAGUACCGUGAGGGAAAGUUGAAAAGAACUCUGAAUAGAGAGUUAAAUAGUACGUGAAACUGCUUAGAGGUUAAGCCCGAUGAACCUGAAUAUCCAUUAUAGAAAAUUCAUCAUUAUGAUUUUAAUAUUUAUAAUAUUAUAAUAAUGGUGUGCAUUUUUUCUAUAACGGACAUUGUAAUCUAUUAACAUAAAUAUAUUUAUCAUAAGAUCAAUGAUGCGUAAGUUUAUUCAAAUUAUUUUGCUUGCAAUUUAACAUAGAAUAAAUGCUCUUGAUUUGAUAAAGUGUUGAUAGAUUUAUUGUAUAUAGUGCUUAAAUAUUUAUAUUUUAUAAUAGCAUAUUAAUCAUUGAUUUUUAUGUUUAUUAUAUGCACUUAUAUGAUUAACAAUGCGAAAGAUUCAGGAUACCUUCGGGACCCGUCUUGAAACACGGACCAAGGAGUCUAACAUAUUUGCAAGUUAUUGGGUAUAUAAACCUAAUAGCGAAAUUAACAUAACUUAAUGGGAUUAGUUUUUAGAUUGUACGAUCUAUUAAUUCAAUCCCGGGGCGUUCUAUAUAGUUAUGUAUAAUAAUAUUUAUAUUAUUUAUACCUCUAACUAGAGCGUACCUUGAGCAUAUAUGCUGUGACCCGAA